UUUUUUUUAUUGUUUGGUUGCUUAUGUUGCUAAAAAAUUACAAUUAUUUAUUUAUCAAAAAGAAUUGGAUAUAUUUUGAUUUGUGUUUUCAAUAACGUGUGUUCCUAUACUCUGACAUUGCUACGCGCACAUUUGUUUUAACAAUGAAAGAAGCAGUGUGUUUGUGAACGCCGCAUCAACAGUUGGAUACGUAUUUGUGAAUACCAGCCUCAAAAUCAGAGUCACACAACUUCGACCCUCCCUAAAUGUUGGAAUCAUUUAACCAUGGACAAGAGUGUGGUUUAUAUCGAUAAAAACAAGAAAAAAUUGGACGGUUCAAAGUGGAGUGAUUAUGCGACCAAACUUUUUAUAUACUUGUACCGUUUCAGGAAGGAUAAAUUUCGCAACCCGUUUUUUUUAAACAGAUUGUUAUAUGAGGAAAUUCUUCAAGAAAUGGAAGAAGGAUACGGUAUAUGUGGAUUAAACAUUCAAAAGCUCGACAGAAAGAUUCGUAAUCUCAAGAGAACAUAUGUCAUUAUCAGAAAUAGAAAUAUGGGCUCGAACCCAGAUUCCAUUUCAUGGGAAUAUUACAAGCAAAUGCAUGACAUUUUAUAUGAUGACCCUUCUAUUGUCGACACUCCUCCACACUCUAAUUUUAAAAUAUAUUUUUCGAGUCGCACCCAGUCGAAGAAUCGAGUCAGACGAGUGGGCAACACAGAGCAAGAAAGAGUUAAAGAUCAACAGCCAAAUUGGUCAUUUACUUUUGAAAACGAUGCAUCAUUAUUGAGCUCGACAUUUUCCAAAACAAGCAAAUGUCGAACCAGAAAUACUAGAAAAUCUGAAAGGCAACGGCCGAUUGAAAUAAGGACAAUAGAGCGGGCAAAUGACCUUCAAAUUGAAAGAAAUAACUUAUUAAAGCAGUUUCUCGUCAAUUUAAAAAAUGCAUAACAUAAAAUAGAUAUAUAACAUCAAUUUCAUUUAUAAAUUGUUCAUUCAUACAUGAGGAUGUAAUCUUCUUAUUCUUCAAGUAGUAAGCUUAAAAAUUAUGUAAUUGUUUGUUAACCUCAUCUAAUUUCUUAGUGUACAAAAGCUGUUAUAAAUUAUACCAUAGUUUUUAUACUCUGUAUAAUAGUCGAUCUAGCCCUGUCUGUCUGUCUGUCCGUAUGAACACCUGGAUCUCAGAGACUAUAAGAGAUAGAGACACCAAAUUUUCUACA